GGUCAAGCGAACAAGUGCAUGUGGUGGAUGCCUUGGCGAUCACAGGCGAUGAAGGACGCGGUAGCCUGCGAAAAGCUCCGGGGAGCUGGCAAACGAGCAUUGAUCCGGAGAUGUCCGAAUGGGGAAACCCACUCCUAAUGGAGUAUCCGUAGCUGAAUCCAUAGGCUGCGUGAGGCGAACGCGGUGAACUGAAACAUCUAAGUAACCGCAGGAAAAGAAAUCAACCGAGAUUCCCAGAGUAGUGGCGAGCGAAAUGGGAUCAGCCGGUACACGUUAUCUGUAUUGUUAGUCGAACGCUCUGGAAAGUGCGGCCAUAGCAGGUGAUAGCCCUGUAGACGAAAACAGCAUGGAAGAACUGGGUGUACGAGAAGUAGGGCGGGACACGUGAAAUCCUGUCUGAAGAUGGGGGGACCAUCCUCCAAGGCUAAAUACUCGUGAUCGACCGAUAGUGAACCAGUACCGUGAGGGAAAGGCGAAAAGAACCCCGGGAGGGGAGUGAAACAGAUCCUGAAACCGCAUGCAUACAAACAGUCGGAGCCUCUGCGAAGGGGUGACGGCGUACCUUUUGUAUAAUGGGUCAGCGACUUACAUUCAGUGGCGAGCUUAACCGAUUAGGGCAGGCGUAGCGAAAGCGAGUCCGAACAGGGCGUCCAGUCGCUGGGUGUAGACCCGAAACCAGGUGAUCUAUCCAUGGCCAGGUUGAAGGCACGGUAACACGUGCUGGAGGACCGAACCCACUAACGUUGAAAAGUUAGGGGAUGAGCUGUGGAUAGGGGUGAAAGGCUAAACAAACCUGGAAAUAGCUGGUUCUCUCCGAAAACUAUUUAGGUAGUGCCUCGUGUCUCACCUUCGGGGGUAGAGCACUGUCAUGGUUGUGGGGUCCAUUGCGGAUUACUACGCCAUAGCAAACUCCGAAUACCGAAGAGUGCAAUCACGGGAGACAGACAUCGGGUGCUAACGUCCGGUGUCAAGAGGGAAACAACCCAGACCGCCAGCUAAGGUCCCCAAAUAUGGCUAAGUGGGAAACGAAGUGGGAAGGCUAAAACAGUCAGGAGGUUGGCUUAGAAGCAGCCACCCUUUAAAGAAAGCGUAAUAGCUCACUGAUCGAGUCGUCCUGCGCGGAAGAUGUAACGGGGCUAAGCCAUAUACCGAAGCUGCGGAUGCACAGUAAUGUGCAUGGUAGGAGAGCGUUCCGUAAGCCUGCGAAGGUGCACUGGAAAGUGUGCUGGAGGUAUCGGAAGUGCGAAUGCUGACAUGAGUAGCGAUAAAGGGGGUGAAAGGCCCCCUCGCCGUAAGCCCAAGGUUUCCUACGCAACGUUCAUCGGCGUAGGGUGAGUCGGCCCCUAAGGCGAGGCAGAAAUGCGUAGCUGAUGGGAAGCAGAUUAAUAUUUCUGCACCAUUGUGAAAUGCGAUGGGGGGACGGAUCGCGGAAGGUUGUCCGGGUGUUGGAAGUCCCGGUCCUUGCAUUGGAGAAGGCGCUUUGGCAAAUCCGGGCGCGNNNNNNNNNNNNNNNNNNNNNNNNNNNNNNNNNNNNNNNNNNNNNNNNNNNNNNNNNNNNNNNNNNNNNNNNNNNNNNNNNNNNNNNNNNNNNNNNNNGAUUCAAGGGUGCGAGGCGAGCCACUUCGGUGGCGAAGCAACUGGAAGGGGUUCCAGGAAAAGCCUCUAAGCUUCAGUUUCACAGUGACCGUACCGCAAACCGACACAGGUGGGCGAGAUGAGUAUUCUAAGGCGCUUGAGAGAACUCGGGAGAAGGAACUCGGCAAAUUGGUACCGUAACUUCGGGAUAAGGUACGCCCUCAUAGCCUGACUGGCCUGCGCCAGAAGGGUGAAAGGGUUGCAAUAAACUGGUGGCUGCGACUGUUUAAUAAAAACACAGCACUCUGCAAACACGAAAGUGGACGUAUAGGGUGUGACGCCUGCCCGGUGCCGGAAGAUUAAAUGAUGGGGUGCAAGCUCCUGAUUGAAGUCCCGGUAAACGGCGGCCGUAACUAUAACGGUCCUAAGGUAGCGAAAUUCCUUGUCGGGUAAGUUCCGACCUGCACGAAUGGCGUAACGAUGGCCACACUGUCUCCUCCCGAGACUCAGCGAAGUUGAAGUGUUUGUGAUGAUGCAAUCUCCCCGCGGCUAGACGGAAAGACCCCAUGAACCUUUACUGCAGCUUUGCAUUGGACUUUGAACCGGUCUGUGUAGGAUAGGUGGGAGGCUAUGAAGUUGGGACGCCAGUCUCAAUGGAGCCGUCCUUGAAAUACCACCCUGAUCUGUUUGAGGUUCUAACCUUGGCCCGUGAUCCGGGUCGGGGACAGUGCAUGGUAGGCAGUUUGACUGGGGCGGUCUCCUCCCAAAGUGUAACGGAGGAGUACGAAGGUACGCUAGGUACGGUCGGAAAUCGUGCUGAUAGUGCAAUGGCAUAAGCGUGCUUGACUGUGAGACUGACAAGUCGAACAGGUGCGAAAGCAGGUCAUAGUGAUCCGGUGGUUCUGUAUGGAAGGGCCAUCGCUCAACGGAUAAAAGGUACUCUGGGGAUAACAGGCUGAUACCGCCCAAGAGUUCAUAUCGACGGCGGUGUUUGGCACCUCGAUGUCGGCUCAUCUCAUCCUGGGGCUGUAGCCGGUCCCAAGGGUAUGGCUGUUCGCCAUUUAAAGAGGUACGUGAGCUGGGUUUAAAACGUCGUGAGACAGUUUGGUCCCUAUCUGCCGUGGGCGCUGGAUAUUUGAAGGGGGCUGCUCCUAGUACGAGAGGACCGGAGUGGACGAACCUCUGGUGUACCGGUUGUCACGCCAGUGGCAUCGCCGGGUAGCUAUGUUCGGAAGAGAUAACCGCUGAAAGCAUCUAAGCGGGAAACUCGCCUUAAGAUGAGAUAUCCCCGGGGCUUCGAGCCCCUUGAAGGGUCGUUCAAGACCAGGACGUUGAUAGGUCAGGUGUGCACGUACAGUAAUGUACUGAGCUAACUGAUACUAAUUGCCCGUAAGGCUUGAUCCU
rnacentral:rRNA from 1 species